CCUACGGGAGGCAGCAGUGGGGGAUAUUGCACAAUGGAGGAAACUCUGAUGCAGCGACGCCGCGUGAGGGAAGACGGUCUUCGGAUUGAAAACCUCUGUCUUUGGGGAAGAAAAUUACGGUACCCAACGAGGACGCUCCGGCUAACUACAUGCCAGCAGCCACGGUAAUACGUAGGGAGCGAGCGUUGUCCGGAAUUCCUGGGGGUAAAGGGAGCGUAGGCGGGCGAGAAAGUUGCAUGUUAAAUCUACCGGCUUAACUGGUAGCUGCGUUCAAAACUUCUUGGCUUGAGUGAAGUAGCGGCAGGCGGAAUUCCUAGUGUAGCGGUGAAAUGCGUAGAUAUUAGGAGGAACACCAGUGGCGAAGGCGGCCUGCUGGGCUGUAACUGACGCUGAGGCUCGAAAGCGUGGGGAGCAAACAGGAUUAGAUACCCGGGUAGUC
rnacentral:rRNA from 1 species